AGCCUGCAGAGGCAACAGAAUGUUACAGCCUCCCUAAGAGGCUACUGCCCAUUGGGGCUGGUGGGCCAGAAGCCAAGGAGACCAAAAGUAGAUGGAACCAGAGCCAACAACGGAUGCAAAAAAUAAUAAUCUACAGAUGUAAACCAUGGUUUGUACAAACAAUAGUUUGCCUGUAAACCAAAACUGGAAACGCUAGUCAAAUUAUUUGGAUGUAACGGCAAGCUAUUGUUGGCCACAAAAGUAAAAGUGCAAGAGCAAAUUGGUGUGUAUGUGAGAGAGGAGAAGGAAUUUUGUGAGCCUAAGGCUCAUUCAAGUAAUGUCGAACUAUGGUUUGGUGUUAUGUCUAAACAGAGCUAAUGCCAUGUCUCUGCCAGUCAAAGUAGGCCAGGCUUUCCCUUCCAGAUAUUAUGGACUACAGAUUUCAUCAUCCCUGACCGUUGGCCAUGUCCCUGGGGCUGAUCAGGGUUGUAACCCAAAAUUUCUGGAGGGCACCAAGCUGGGGGAGGCUGGUGUGGCUAGUUUUGAGCUAGAUGGACCAAAGAUCUGCCAUGUAUAAGGCAGCUUUCUGUGUUCUAUAUUUCAAAGCUUUACCCUUUUAAAAGUUAGCUCUGGACUACGUUUAAGCACAUUCCACCAGGUUUAACUGCUGAAUCAGAGUUAAAAAAACACUGAGUUGCUGAAGAAUUGUGUAUUUUCAGGAAGCAUUUAAGCAUUUUGGUUUCACCGAGAAGUGAUCAAGGUAGAUCAACAGGGCUUACAAUCUCUCAAGGCAGCUAAACUCUUGCUACUUUGCCUGCACAGUGGGUGGAGUACAAUGGCAUGCUAUGGCAAUUGCUCCAUCAGUGCAUGCAUAUCAGCUUGCCAGAUGGAACAAUUCCCCCUCUCUUCCCACUGUGCACUGCAUUGUGGGUUCUCCUGACCCCUGCAAGCCAACAUGGGGCUCAUAGGGGGCACACAGGGAGGAGGGGAAAGCCCCAUUGAGCUAGGGAAGUCCUUGCACAGGCUUCUUAUAGCUGGACUCCUAAAUUAAUCUGGCCCACUCCCUUCAGGCUGCCCAAGCCCAUUAAAGGUAAAGGGACCCUUGACCAUUAGGUCCAGUCUUCACCGACUCUGGGGUUGUGGUGCUCAUCUCGCUUUAUUGGCUGAGUGAGCCAGUGUACAGCUUCCAGAUCAUGUGGCCAGCAUGACUAAGCCACUUCUGGCAAACCAGAGCAGCGCAUGUAAAUGCCGUUUACCUUCCUGCCAGAGUGGUACCUAUUUAUCUACUUGCACUUUGACAUGCUUUCGAACUGCUAGGUUGGCAGGAGCAGGGACCGAGGAACGGGAGCUCACCCCAUUGUGGGGAUUCGAACCGCCGACCUUCUGAUCGGCAAGUCCUAGGCUCUGUGGUUUAACCCACAGCGCCACCCAUGUUCCGCCCAAGCCCAUUACUGGGGCUCAUUAAUUAGCAGCGUCCUGAAAGGGAAAUCACUUGCCAUUAGCCAAGUUUCCUUAGCAAUAGCAGAUCCACAGAAGAGAGCUGGGCAUGUUCUAGGGUGCACUAGGGAUCUGAGCAGAUGAAGAGUUGGAUGCAACAUCCCUGGUCUUUACUCUGUGAGGCAAAUGGAGAGCUCAGUCCUAGAACUUUCACCAUUCUAGAAAACAGCUGAGAAUCCUUGCCAGCGCAUGGGAAUGCAGUGGCAAACAUGCAGGGGUUCCUCAGUAGACAAAUAAAUGUAGAAAAAUAUUCUCUGAGUGCAGAUUGUUUGAAAACCACCAGGAUAGACAAUAUGGCUUGUAUUUAUAUGCCUGCCAUAUGGCUCUAUAGCUCCUUCUGCAAAGCUGUUCUUAUUUUAUCAUCUCCGUAUUCUUCAGCAGAAGCGUAGAACUUCCGAAUAUGUUUUGCAGAUUGGAGUUUCGCCGGAAAAGAUGAAGGCAUCAGCUGAGAAAGCGUAGGCUGGGAGAGCAUUGGUUUGAAAUCUACCUGGACUGUUUUGCAUAUGUAUUCAUGCUACAUAAUGUGUGGCAUUUGAUAUAUGGGACUGAGGCAAUCUUCUCUCUGUGGGGCAGCACAGAAACAAUCCAGUUUGUCCAAAAAGAGGGACAAAUUUGCACAACUCUGCAUGGAUGGAACCUGCUUUGCUUUUAGGAUUUCACUAUGAGAAAGUCCCAUGUUUGUUUUUAGUCAAGUAGUGUAUGCUGACAUCUGGUGGCACUGGGGAACCAGGUCUUUGGUAAAGAAAUAGAGCACGAUAGGCUUUCAGAG